CUCCUACGGGAGGCAGCAGUGGGGAAUAUUGCACAAUGGGCGCAACUGUAUGCAGCGACGCCGCGUGCGGGAUAGACGGCCUUCGGGUUGUAAACCGCUUUUGACUGGGAGCAAACCCUUCGGGGUGAGUGUACCUUUCGAAUAAGCACUGGCUAACUACGUGCCAGCAGCCGCGGUAAUACGUAGGGUGCAAGCGUUAUCCGGAAUUAUUGGGCGUAAAGGGCUCGUAGGCGGUUCGUCGCGUCCGGUGUGAAAGUCCAUCGCUUAACGGUGGAUCCGCGCCGGGUACGGGCGGGCUUGAGUGCGGUAGGGGGAGACUGGAAUUCCCCGGUGUAACGGUGGAAUGUGUAGAUAUCGGGAAGAACACCAAUGGCGAAGGCAGGUCUCUGGGCCGUCACUGACGCUGAGGAGCGAAAGCGUGGGGAGCGAACAGGAUUAGAUACCCUGGUAGUCCACGCCGUAAACGGUGGAUGCUGGAUGUGGGGACCAUUCCACGGUCUCCGUGUCGGAGCCAACGCGUUAAGCAUCCCGCCUGGGGAGUACGGCCGCAAGGCUAAAACUCAAAGAAAUUGACGGGGGCCCGCACAAGCGGCGGAGCAUGCGGAUUAAUUCGAUGCAACGCGAAGAACCUUACCUGGGCUUGACAUGUUCCCGACAGCCCCAGAGAUGGGGCCUCCCUUCGGGGCGGGUUCACAGGUGGUGCAUGGUCGUCGUCAGCUCGUGUCGUGAGAUGUUGGGUUAAGUCCCGCAACGAGCGCAACCCUCGCCCUGUGUUGCCAGCACGUCGUGGUGGGAACUCACGGGGGACCGCCGGGGUCAACUCGGAGGAAGGUGGGGAUGACGUCAGAUCAUCAUGCCCCUUACGUCCAGGGCUUCACGCAUGCUACAAUGGCCGGUACAACGGGAUGCGACCUCGUGAGGGGGAGCGGAUCCCUUAAAACCGGUCUCAGUUCGGAUUGGAGUCUGCAACCCGACUCCAUGAAGGCGGAGUCGCUAGUAAUCGCGGAUCAGCAACGCCGCGGUGAAUACGUUCCCGGGCCUUGUACACACCGC
rnacentral:rRNA from 1 species